AUAGCCAACAGUGUCCAAGAUUAUUGCUUUAGUAUCACGAGUUCUGGCAGGACUGCUGCCAGAAUUUAUUAAAUUUCCACCACGGAUAGAAACCCUUCAACAGGAAUUUUAUAACGUAGCUCGUUUUCCUAUGGUUGUGGGGUGUAUUGAUUGUACUUUGUAUCAAUCAAAUGCCCCAGCCAGGAACAAGCUGCGUUAUAUAUAAAUCGGAAGGGUUUCUAUUCGUUAAACAUCCAGGUGGUUUGUAAUGCUGAACGACAUAUCUUGGACAUUGUUGCUCGAUGGAGAGCCAGCGUCCAUGAUGCGCGUAUAUGAGAUUCAUGUUCCCUCAAGGAUGAAUUUGAGGCAGGUAGGAUAAAAGGUAUCUUGCUUGGAGAUUCCGGGUACCCUUGCAAGCCAUAUCUUUUGACUCCUAUCCUGAAUCCCCGUGAUCCUUCUGAGGAGCGUUACAACGCAUCCCAUGUACGGACCCGGAUCAUUGUGGAACGCUGCUUUGGUGAAUGGAAGGGCAUGUUCCUUGCUCUACGGAAUAGCAUGCAGAUUUCUUUGCCCACAGCAAAAGCAGCCAUUAUAGCAAUGGCUGUUUUAUAUAACAUUCGACACAAAUUUAAGGAUAACAAUCCAUAUGAUGCAGAUUCGGAUGAGGAUUUGGACGACGAAGAGGAUGACCAUGUUACAAUGAAUUCUGAAGCAGAACCAGUGCAGCAUGGCCAUAAUCUCUUUCGUCAAGAGUUUGUGCAACAAUAUUUCUCUUAACGGAAAAAGAAUAUAAUUUUUCUUCUU